rnacentral:rRNA from 1 species
UGCGUAGGGGGCAAGCGUUGUCCGGAGUUACUGGGCGUAAAGCGCACGCAGGCGGUCUCUUAAGUUUGGAGUGACAGUUGGUGGCUUAACUGCCAAAGUGCUUCGAAAACUGAGAGACUUGAGGGCUUCAGAGGGACACGGAAUUCCGGGUGGAGUGGUGAAAUGCGUAGAGAUCCGGAGGAACACCAAAGGCGAAGGCAGUGUCCUGGGGAGUACCUGACGCUCAGGUGCGAAAGCCAGGGGAGCGAACGGG